rnacentral:rRNA from 1 species
AUUGAACGCUGGCGGCAGGCCUAACACAUGCAAGUCGAACGGUAACAGGAAGAAGCUUGCUUCUUUGCUGACGAGUGGCGGACGGGUGAGUAAUGUCUGGGAAACUGCCUGAUGGAGGGGGAUAACUACUGGAAACGGUAGCUAAUACCGCAUAACGUCGCAAGACCAAAGAGGGGGACCUUCGGGCCUCUUGCCAUCGGAUGUGCCCAGAUGGGAUUAGCUAGUAGGUGGGGUAACGGCUCACCAAGGCGACGAUCCCUAGCUGGUCUGAGAGGAUGACCAGCCACACUGGAACUGAGACACGGUCCAGACUCCUACGGGAGGCAGCAGUGGGGAAUAUUGGACAAUGGGCGCAAGCCUGAUGCAGCCAUGCCGCGUGUAUGAAGAAGGCCUUCGGGUUGUAAAGUACUUUCAGCGGGGAGGAAGGGAGUAAAGUUAAUACCUUUGCUCAUUGACGUUACCCGCAGAAGAAGCACCGGCUAACUCCGUG